rnacentral:rRNA from 1 species
UACGAAGGGGGCUAGCGUUGCUCGGAAUCACUGGGCGUAAAGCGCACGUAGGCGGAUUGCUAAGUCAGGGGUGAAAUCCUGGAGCUCAACUCCAGAACUGCCUUUGAUACUGAAGAUCUUGAGUUCGGGAGAGGUGAGUGGAACUGCGAGUGUAGAGGUGAAUUCGUAGAUAUUCGCAAGAACACCAGUGGCGAAGGCGGCUCAC